rnacentral:rRNA from 1 species
UACGUAGGUGGCAAGCGUUAUCCGGAUUUAUUGGGCGUAAAGGGAACGCAGGCGGUCUUUUAAGUCUGAUGUGAAAGCCUUCGGCUUAACCGGAGUAGUGCAUUGGAAACUGGGAGACUUGAGUGCAGAAGAGGAGAGUGGAACUCCAUGUGUAGCGGUGAAAUGCGUAGAUAUAUGGAAGAACACCAGUGGCGAAAGCGGCUCUCUGGUCUGUAACAGACGCUGAGGUUCGAAAGCGUGGGUAGCAAACAGG